UGGGGGAUAUUGCACAAUGGGCGAAAGCCUGAUGCAGCGACGCCGCGUGGGGGAUGAAGGCCUUCGGGUUGUAAACUUCUUUUGCUCUGAACAAGGCAUGCUAAUGGGUGUGUUGAGUGUAGGGGUUGAUUAGCGCCGGCUAACUACGUGCCAGCAGCCGCGGUAAUACGUAGGGCGCGAGCGUUGUCCGGAAUUAUUGGGCGUAAAGGGCUUGUAGGUGGCUGGUUGCGUCUGUCGUGAAAGCUCAUGGCUUAACUGUGGGUUGGCGGUGGGUACGGGCUGGCUUGAGUGCAGUAGGGGAGGCUGGAAUUCCUGGUGUAGCGGUGGAAUGCGAAGAUAUCAGGAGGAAGACCGGUGGCGAAGGCGGGUCUCUGGGCUGUUACUGACACUGAGGAGCGAAAGCAUGGGGAGCGAACAGG
rnacentral:rRNA from 1 species